rnacentral:rRNA from 1 species
CCCUUAGACGUUCUGGGCCGCACGCGCGCUACACUGAACAGUUCAACAAGUCUUAACCUUGGCCGAUAGGUCUGGGUAAUCUUUGAACGCUGUUCGUGAUUGGGAUAGACCUUUGCAAUUAUGGGUCUUCAACGAGGAAUUCCUAGUAAACGCAAGUCAUCAGCUUGCAUUGAUUACGUCCCUGCCCUUUGUACACACCGCCCGUCGCACCUACCGAUUGAAUGGUCCGGUGAAGCCUCCGGAUUGGCGCGCACCUCGGUGCCGCCGAGAAGUUGGCUAAACCUUACCAUUUAGAGGAAGGUGAANUCGUANCA